UGUUGGUAGUGGUGGUAACAGCAGGUGAACACUGCUGAUGAUUAUUAUCUUGUGUCUCCUCUUUAACAUCCUGAUAAGAUAACAGGACUUAGUUCAUCACAGGAGUGAAGUACGGACAUUAAAGCAGCCACGUUGGAAGUGUCUCGAAUACAACAUUAUCGUCAUCCUAGGGUAAAAUGGGCUCGAUUCCUCCUGAACCAACAAAAGCAGAAAUUGACCUGCUUCGUAGUUCUGUAGUGCAGAAGAUUGAUUCUGAUGGUGUGAUUUAUGACCC